rnacentral:rRNA from 1 species
GUAGUCUCGCACAGAUGCAUAUCAAUAAGCGGAGGAAAAGGUGUACCUACGCUUAGGAUGUUGACGCGCGUGUGUGCGUGAGACUCUGUGCGCGUGCAUAUCAAUAAGCGGAGGAAAAGAAACUAACAAGGAUUCCCCUAGUAACGGCGAGUGAAGCGGGAAGAGCUCAAAUUUGAAAUCUUAAAGGGUUUCCCUUUACGAAUUGUAGUUUAUAGAAGUGUUUUCUGUUGAGUGUAUUGGCUAAAAGUUCUUUGGAAUAGGACAUCAUAGAGGGUGAGAAUCCCGUAUUUGAUCAUUCCUCCUAGCUUUGUGAUACACUUUCAACGAGUCGGAUUGUUUGGGAAUGCAGUCCAAAAUGGGAUGGUAAAUUUCAUCUAAAGCUAAAUAUUGGCGAGAGACCGAUAGCGAACAAGUACCGUGAGGGAAAGAUGAAAAGAACUUUGAAAAGAGAGUUAAACAGUACGUGAAAUUGUCAAAAGGGAAGCGUUUGACACCAGUGUUGUUUAGCUGAAAAUCAAUUCAAUAAUUUUUGAUUUUAAGUAGUAUUGACUUCAUCAGCUUGCUGCUUUCUUUUCAGGAAUUAUUGAAUGCACUUUUCAGUUAACAAGUCAACAUCAAUUUCUUUUGUUGUAAAAGAGUCAUUGGAAGGUGGCUUUCAUUUCGGUGAAAGUGUUUAUAGCCUUUUAACUCUGCAAUCGGAGAGAUUGAGGUCUGCAGCGUAGAUCCUUCGGGGUUAGAUACGUUUGUGCUAAGUUAUAGCUUUUCAUAGACAACUUGUUGACUAUGUUAAGUCUUGUAAUUUACUCGCAGAUGCUAUUUUACCUACGCUUAGGAUGUUGAUCUGUAGUGCGUGCGC